rnacentral:tRNA from 3 species
GGGUUCUUAGCUCAGCUGGUUAGAGCAUCGCCUCGACACGGCGAAGGUCACUGGUUCGAGUCCAGUAGAACCCA